GACGAACGCUGGCGGCGUGCUUAACACAUGCAAGUCGAACGAUGAUGCCCAGCUUGCUGGGUGGAUUAGUGGCGAACGGGUGAGUAACACGUGAGUAACCUGCCCCUGACUCUGGGAUAAGCGUUGGAAACGACGUCUAAUACUGGAUAUGGCUGCCGGCCGCAUGGUCUGGUGGUGGAAAGAUUUUUUGGUUGGGGAUGGACUCGCGGCCUAUCAGCUUGUUGGUGAGGUAAUGGCUCACCAAGGCGACGACGGGUAGCCGGCCUGAGAGGGUGACCGGCCACACUGGGACUGAGACACGGCCCAGACUCCUACGGGAGGCAGCAGUGGGGAAUAUUGCACAAUGGGCGAAAGCCUGAUGCAGCAACGCCGCGUGAGGGAUGACGGCCUUCGGGUUGUAAACCUCUUUUAGUAGGGAAGAAGCGAAAGUGACGGUACCUGCAGAAAAAGCACCGGCUAACUACGUGCCAGCCGCCGCCGUAA
rnacentral:rRNA from 1 species